AGAUAAGAUUUCCCACCGCAAGGGUAAGACCCCAGAAAGACUAUCUGGUUGAUAGGUCGAAGGUGUAAGUGCAGCAAUGUAUUUAGCUUAUCGAUACUAAUAGGUCGAGGACUUGACCAA
rnacentral:rRNA from 1 species